UACGUAGGGAGCAAGCGUUGUCCGGAAUCAUUGGGCGUAAAGCGCGCGUAGGUGGCCCGGUAAGUCCGCUCUGAAAGUCACAGGCUCAACCUGUGAAAGCGGGUGGAUACUGCCGGGCUAGAGUCCGGAAGAGGCGAGUGGAAUUCCUGGUGUAGCGGUGAAAUGCGUAGAUAUCUGGAGGAACACCGGUGGCGAAGGCGGGUCUCUGGGCAACAACUGACGCUGAGGAGCGAAAGCGUGGGGAGCGAACAGG
rnacentral:rRNA from 1 species